GACGAACCGUGCGAACGUUGUUCGGAAUCACUGGGCUUAAAGGGUGCGUAGGCGGGUUCCCAAGUCCGGGGUGAAAUCUUUCGGCUUAACCGGAAAAUAGCCUCGGAUACUGGGAGUCUUGAGGGAGGUAGGGGCAGCUGGAACUUCCGGUGGAGCGGUGAAAUGCGUUGAUAUCGGAAGGAACGCCGGUGGCGAAAGCGAGCUGCUGGACCUCUUCUGGCGCUGAGGCACGAAAGCCAGGGGAGCAAACAGG
rnacentral:rRNA from 1 species